CAACCUGCCCUGAAGCGGGGGACAACAACUCGAAAGAGUUGCUAAUACCGCAUGUGAAUUGCUAUGGCAUCAUGGCGUAUUCAAAGCCGCAAGGCACUUCAGGAUGGGCCCGCGGCCUAUCAGCUAGUUGGUGAGGUAACGGCCCACCAAGGCUUCGACGGGUAGCUGGUCUGAGAGGACGAUCAGCCGGAUUGGGACUGAGAUACGGCCCAG
rnacentral:rRNA from 1 species